rnacentral:rRNA from 1 species
UACGUAGGGGGCAAGCGUUGUCCGGAUUUAUUGGGCGUAAAGAGCUCGUAGGUGGUUCGGUAAGUCGGAUGUGAAAUCUCCAGGCUCAACCUGGAGGGGUCAUUCGAUACUGCCGUGACUAGAGGUCGGUAGGGGAGUGUGGAAUUCCUGGUGUAGCGGUGGAAUGCGCAGAUAUCAGGAGGAACACCGGUGGCGAAGGCGGGUCUCUGGGCCGAUACUGACGCUGAGGAGCGAAAGCGUGGGGAGCGAACAGG